rfam:Toxocara canis scaffold176, whole genome shotgun sequence.
GCGGCAGUAGCUCAGUGGCAGAGCCCUCGCUGUGUAUGCGGGGAGACCUGGGUUCGAUUCCCGGCUGCUUUC